rnacentral:rRNA from 1 species
AUUGAACGCUGGCGGCAUGCCUUACACAUGCAAGUCGAACGGCAGCACGGGAGCAAUCCUGGUGGCGAGUGGCGAACGGGUGAGUAAUAUAUCGGAACGUGCCCAGUCGUGGGGGAUAACUACUCGAAAGAGUGGCUAAUACCGCAUACGAUCUACGGAUGAAAGCGGGGGACCUUAGGGCCUCGCGCGAUUGGAGCGGCCGAUAUCAGAUUAGGUAGUUGGUAGGGAUAAAAGCUUACCAAGCGACGAUCUGUAGCUGGUCUGAGAGGACGACCAGCCACACUGGACUGAGACACGGCCCAGACUCCUACGGGAGGCAGCAGUGGGGAAUUUUGGACAAUGGGGGAAACCCUGGAUCCAGCCAUGCCGCGUGCAGGAUGAAGGCC